GCCCCCGUAGCUCAGUGGAUAGAGCAUGAGUUUCCUAAACUCUGUGCGCAGGUUCGAUUCCUGCCGGGGGUA
rnacentral:tRNA from 2 species